rnacentral:rRNA from 1 species
AUUGAACGCUGGCGGCAUGCUUUACACAUGCAAGUCGAACGGUAACAGGGUGCUUGCACCGCUGACGAGUGGCGAACGGGUGAGUAAUGCGUCGGAACGUGCCGAGUAGUGGGGGAUAACGCAUCGAAAGGUGUGCUAAUACCGCAUACGUACUGAGGUAGAAAGUGGGGGACCUUCGGGCCUCACGCUAUCCGAGCGGCCGACGUCUGAUUAGCUAGUUGGUGAGGUAAAGGCUCACCAAGGCGACGAUCAGUAGCGGGUCUGAGAGGAUGAUCCGCCACACUGGGACUGAGACACGGCCCAGACUCCUACGGGAGGCAGCAGUGGGGAAUUUUGGACAAUGGGCGCAAGCCGGAUCCAGCCAUGCCGCGUGUCUGAAGAAGGCCUUCGGGUUGUAAAGGACUUUUGUCCGGGAGCAAAUGCCUGGUGUUAAUAGCACUGGGAGCUGAGAGUACCGGAAGAAUAAGCACCGGCUAACUACGUGCCAGCCGCCGCCGUAAAAC